rnacentral:sRNA from 1 species
GAUGAGCUGCGUUAGCGGUUGCAGUGGUAUCCUUUUUUUGCUGCCACUUAUGGCAAAAAAAGAUUUUAACGGAAAACGCGACCCUUG